UUACCAGAUGUCUUAUCAUGUAAGAGUGGUGUUUUCGGUAUUGUGGAAGGUUAAUCUACUGAUGCAGAAGAAAUCAUUGUUCCCCUUAGUGUCCCUCAAAGAACCUG
rnacentral:lncRNA from 1 species